AUGGAGUCUAACCCAGGGAUCCUGAUCUCCUCCUUGUACAAAAAUGACCCUUUUUACCCCCUUUACCUUUGUGACCUGAUGGAAGCAUCACAGGCUGCAGUCAACUCUUUUCUCAAGGAACAGAAAACUCUUCUCUGGACACUGAAGAAACUAGAGCACCAAAGAUCGACAAGACUACGACAAUUGAAUGAGGAGAAAAAGCAAUUUGCUCUCCUAAUGGAAAGGAAGUUAGCUCCACAAAUCAACAAUCGGUCAAGUUCACAUUUUCCUGGAGUAGAGAUAAGCCAGUCAUCUUCCUCCAGUUCUAGAAUUCCCCCUUCUAGAAAGAACACCCUGAAAAGCUUCCAUGCAGGCAGGGACAUCCGGGUGAUCUCUAGCACUCCGUCAAGCUCUACAGAAUCUUCAGAAGUCAAACCUGUUGAGAUGUUGAAAGUGCCACUGUCGUCCUUAAGAAUCCCAGGGCCACAGUAUAUGUGUAAAUAUGUGCACAACCCAAAAUUACUGACAAGAAAUGGCAGUUAUUUACCAAUUCUUCGAUUAUAA
rnacentral:lncRNA from 1 species